AUUUAAAAAAUGACAGAGCCUGAAGAAAAUGGGAAUUCAAAGUCUGACUCCAAGUUUCCUCGUGAACCGUUCUGCUCCUUUGCCUCUGUAGAAUGGGACAGGGCCAGAGAGCACUUGCUGUGGUCCAGAAGGGCUCUAGAAGUUAUGACUUACCUCUGCCAGCCUAAAGUGUCUGUGUUGCCUAUGUCCUGUGAAACAGUCUGUGCAUGGAGAGAGGCUGUUGGAAGUAUGUCAUCCAGUCCCUGCUCUGAGCUAGAGUCUUGUACAAGGUGAAAAAAAGAAUCCUUGCUUUCCAGGAGAUGGUGAAUCUAGGUGAGAAUUAUGCAAUACUGUGAAGAUGACUCUCAGAGCAGAAUAUUGAUUGACUACUUCGUAAACACACCAUCUUCAGUCAAGAUAACAGCUUGCAAACCCCAGAAUAAUUUGUUUCUGACAACUGAUUCAGGAAACUUUGAGAUGCAAUGUUUUGACUCCUGUUUAGAAUGAAGACUUAUUUGGAAAUGUGGGAAUUUCCUCCCCAUAGGACAAAAUGUCCGUGUUUUUAUCAGCUGUUGAAGAACUGUGGCACUCUCUGACAGUGGAGACUUUAUGCCAGAUCAGUACCUCAAGGGCAAGAGAAAGAGAUCAUCAAGAUACUUAAGCAGACCAUCUCACAUCUUCUCCUGCUGGCUUGGUCUUCUUUGACACAUGAUUUAUUUUUAAAAUUCUGUUUCUUUUCCUUUCCUAAGGCAAGUUUAUGAGCAUACAAUUAUUAUCUUUCUGUGGGAUCUCAGGCAGAAUCCAGGUGGCUGAAAUAUCUGCAAGUAGCUAGGUGAAGUCAAAGUUAUGCCUGAGUAUUGUGUUGACCUCAUCUAAUAUGCUUUUGAGUAUUUGGUUAUAGAUUAAAUAAUGUGAGUAUUAUUCUGUAAUAGAAGUGUGCUUCUUAUUGUUAGUUAAGAACAAUGUCUUGUGU